CCUCCUUUCUAGAGAAAGACGACUAAAGUAAAUUACUAUUGAAAGAGAUAGUUUGUUCUCAAUGCUGUUAAUUAUAAUAUAUAAAGUAGAGUCUCAUAGCUCAGCUGGUUAGAGCGCUACACUGAUAAUGUAGAGGUCGGCAGUUCGAGUCUGCCUGAGACUACUAUUUACUUAAUAUAAACUAUUAAGUUAAAGGAAAUUUUAGAAGUUGAGUAAAUGAAAUAAUUCAUUUAUAGAGUUAUUUAAUUACUCAUUUUAUGGGGGAUUAGCUCAGCUGGCUAGAGCGCCUGCCUUGCACGCAGGAGGUCAACGGUUCGACUCCGUUAUUCUCCACUAGCAGUUUUAUACUGCAAAAGUUCAUUGACAUAUUGAAAAAGAUACAUAAAAAAAUUUUAGAUUAUUUAUAAUCUAAGGUAAUUCGAUUAAUUGUAGCGUGAGCAACAAUUAAUCAAAACUCAUUAAGAAGACAAAAAGUACAAUAAGCUAAAUAAGGGCGUAUGGGGAAUGCCUAGGGUCUCAAAGGCGAUGAAGGACGUGAUAAGCUGC
rnacentral:tRNA from 1 species